UACACCCAUAUCACGUUGAAUCAGCGGGUCUCAUACAAUCACCGAAGUUAAGCAUCAUUGAGCUUGGUCAGUAUCUAGAUUGGUGACCGCUUAGGAUUAUUAGGUGUUGCAAG